rnacentral:rRNA from 1 species
UACGUAGGCAGCGAGCGUUGUUCGGAGUUACUGGGCGUAAAGCGUGCGUAGGCGGUGUCUUAAGUUUGUUGUGAAAUCUCCCGGCUUAACCGGGAGGGUGCGGCGAAUACUGAGAUGCUGGUGUGCCGGAGAGGUAAGCGGAAUUCCUGGUGUAGCGGUGAAAUGCGUAGAUAUCAGGAGGAACACCUGCGGUGUAGACGGCUUACUGGACGGUAACUGACGCUGAGGCACGAAAGCGUGGGUAGCAAACAGG